rnacentral:lncRNA from 1 species
UGCGUUUACUUUUCUACAUUGGCUAGAGGUAUAAGGGGAGGGUUGAGAUUUCAUAAACAUGUUUAACCCCGCCGCAUUUAUGCGCCUGUCCCAAGUCAGGAGCCCCUGGCCUUUGCUAGUUUUGUAUUAUUUCUAAUUUUAGUUUCUUGUGUAUAAUUUGGAGUUUAAUAUGGCGUUCAUUAUCACUGAACUAGUAUAAAUAUUUGUUUAGGGGCCA